rnacentral:piRNA from 1 species
UACAGAGCAAGUUCCAGGCCAGU